AUUGAACGCUGGCGGCAUGCCUUACACAUGCAAGUCGAACGGCAGCACGGGAGCAAUCCUGGCGGCGAGUGGCGAACGGGUGAGUAAUAUAUCGGAACGUGCCCAGCCGUGGGGGAUAACGCAGCGAAAGCUGUGCUAAUACCGCAUACGAUCUAAGGAUGAAAGCGGGGGAUCGCAAGACAUCGCGCGAUUGGAGCGGACGAUAUGAGAUUAGCUAGUUGGUGGGGUAAAGGCCAACCAAGGCGACGAUCUGUAGCUGGUCUGAGAGGACGACCAGCCACACUGGAACUGAGACACGCUCCAGACUCCUACGGGAGGCAGCAGAGGGGAAUUUUGGACAAUGGGCGCAAGCCUGAUCCAGCAAUGCCGCGUGCAGGAUGAAGGCCUUCGGGUUGUAAACUGCUUUUGUACGGAACGAAACGGCCCUUUCUAAUACAGGGGGCUAAUGACGGUACCGUAAGAAUAAGCACCGGCUAACUACGUGCCAGCAGCCGCAGUAA
rnacentral:rRNA from 1 species